UUAUACUCUGUUCUCACACACUCUUCCUUCAGUGCAAUCAACAUCCUCAGAAACCUAGCUCCCCCUAAAGAUUUAUAAGCUUUCACUACCUCAAAAAUCUAUCACGGCCAAUAAUAUCAAUCUUGGACUUGCAGUGUAAGAUAUUUCCCUUUUAUUCCAAUGUUCCUCAGGUGUUUGGAUCUUCCACACCCCUUAUGCCUCCUGAUGCGUGUGUGCGCAUAAAUGGAUAACUUCCCUUGUCUGCCCGUUAUCAAGAGAGAUGACAAGUGAGUGCAAGUAUGUUCAUUCAAUACAAUGACCUGCUUACUCUCAUUCCUGAGUAAUAGCCAUGAAGCGGAUAAGUGUUUUCCAGGUCACACGAAACCAAACGAGAUGCUGGAAGGAUCUUCUGCUUUGGACAAGGACAUACAAGAAUAAGGAGGCUGCAGGACAACGUAUGAUGUCACAACUCUAUACAUUUGACCUGAAAAGGGGUCCCUUCAUAUAUCAAGUGGAGCCUUAAAGGUCUGUGAAGAACCUUCAGCAUCUGGCUCCUAAUGCUGUCAAAUAAGGUAGUAAUGGACAAAAUGUUCAACACAAACACAGCUAGAGCUAAGCAGGUAAACCACAUUGCACAAAACCCCUUGGCCAGCCACUGGCAUUGAGAUUAGAUAAUUUUCUUUAACAGAAGUCAUGUACAUAGAGAGACGUGCACUAGAAACUCCAAGCACUUUUUUAAUCCCUUCCUUCCAAGUUUCUCAGUCCUCUAUGAACUUGUUUGUUAGAGAUAAACUUCUGACUUUUGUAUUACAAGCUUUUGUAUGUCACAAUUAAUCUUUCUCCCAUGGAGAUAUACUGGGAAUGCAGAAGGACAGAUUAUCAUCUAAAUAUGGUGAGAGAUUAACCUUACACAUCAUCACACAGAGUCCUUACCCAGAGGGGGAAAGAAAAAAUAACCAGAAAUAUAGAUCAUUAUAGAGCCAAUUCCAUCAACUUGUUGAAUUUAACUGGACAAUUCUGAAUCCCCUGGUCACAUUCACUAUGCCCACAAGAACUAGCAGAGCAGCCACAACUUCCUGGAGAUCAAGUCUAGGAAUAAUGCUCACAACAGAGAUCGACCAGACGGUUGGUCUGCAUGGACUCUGAUACUGUGACUAUAGUGAUGUAUUGCACUUGGGUAAAUGAACAAAACUUUGAAGUUGC